AGUGGGACUGCUGAAUCAAAUGUUAACUCUAUAUUUAACUUUUGAGGAACUCUAGGCUGUUUACCAAAGUGACUACACCAUUUUACAUUUCUACCAGCAAU
rnacentral:pre_miRNA from 1 species